UACGAAGGGGGCUAGCGUUGCUCGGAAUCACUGGGCGUAAAGCGCACGUAGGCGGAUUGCUAAGUCAGGGGUGAAAUCCUGGAGCUCAACUCCAGAACUGCCUUUGAUACUGGCGAUCUUGAGUCCGGGAGAGGUGAGUGGAACUGCGAGUGUAGAGGUGAAAUUCGUAGAUAUUCGGAAGAACACCAGUGGCGAAGGCGGCUCACUGGCCCGUUACCGACGCUCAGGCGCGACAGCGUGGGGAGCAAACAGG
rnacentral:rRNA from 1 species